UUAUACAAGACAUGAGCUUAUUCAAGGUAUACAUUCAUACAAGAUAUAGACUUAUGCAUGGUGUGCAUUCAUAAUAAGCGUACAUUUGUACAAGGCAUAUGUUUGCGUAGGUACGUGUCACUGGCUAUCACACACGCAGACCUGCAGCAGUUUGAAGAGGCUGUUGAGUGCUCCGAGAAGGAACUCGUUUGUCGCCGUGGCAAUGUGACGGAAGAGUGCCGCACUUGGCUGAACAUUGCAGACUACAAAGAUAAAGGUAGCAGGCCAUACAGUGAGAUCAAAGCAGCACUAGACAAAGCACUGCAACAUGCAGAAAUGACCAAUAAUCGUAGCUUGAAGAGACUGGCUCUGGAACACCUCAUCACUGUACAAACGUCAAUGGAGCAAUACCCAUGCAAAAGGUUGAGAGCCAAUGUAGUACCAUCAUCCA